CCAGCUCCAAUAGCGUAUAUUAAAGUUGUUGCAGUUAAAAAGCUCGUAGUUGAAUUUCUGAUUAUGGAUGCAUUGGUUCUCCGAUGUAUCUGUAGUCAUCCACAUGAGAACCUAUCUCGGGCUUCACUGUUCGGUUAGGGGAUCAUGUACUUUACUUUGAAAAAAUCAGAGUGUUUCAGGCAGGCGUUUGCAUGAAUACACAAGCAUGGAAUAAUGGAAUAGGACUAGGGUCCAUUUUAUUGGUUAUUGGACCAUAGUAAUGAUUAAUAGGGACAGUUGGGGGCAUUAGUAUUUAAUUGUCAGAGGUGAAAUUCUUGGAUUUAUUAAAGACUAACUUAUGCGAAAGCAUUUGCCAAGGAUGUUUUCA
rnacentral:rRNA from 1 species